GGGUACAGGACACAUCGUAUUACCUUUCUGUUUGUGAUAUUUUUUAUUAAACUGUUAAUAUUUUAUCUUUUUCGUAAUAUGUGCACUUUGGCAUGUCAAUGAGCAUUGUCCCUCACUGCAUCUCGCAGUUGUGUCACUUUAAAUAGUACUGACUCCUCUGCACCAGGCAUGAGGAUGACUUACCAGUUAUGUGCAACCUCUUACAAUAUCUUACCCUAUCAUUAAUUCCCCGAUACACAUUUUAAUAUGCACCCAUCAUGACAUACAGCACCGUUCCUUGGUGCCUCCUGCAGUUAAGCUAGAUAUAUUUAGCCUACUCACAGAAAUUCUUUUUUGUUACUUUCUAGUGGUGUGCCUGAGACCAAGUUUUUAUAUUUCUUAUUUGUGUUUGUGUUUGUAUCUAUGUAUACUGUAUUGUUUAUUACUUCUUCUUCUUCUUCUUAAGAAAUUUAAUAGUUUGCGCCUAAGGAUCUCUCGUAUAUACGACAAUGGUAGACUUAAUAUAGGCGGAUCCAGGGAGCGGCCCUCGUUUGUGGGAAAAAUUUGGUUGAUUACAUAGGGAAUCACUGAAGCAUGACUGAUUACAUAGGGAAUCACUGAAGCAUGACUAGACCCCCAAAAAAUAAUUUAGGUCACCCAACGCUACCCCCCCCCCCCCACCUUUUAUAACAAGUUCUGGAUCCGCCACAGGACUCUUUCCGCAAAAUAUUGAUGGCCCUUAAAGGAGCCUCUCAUCCUUUGUACCAUUGAAGAAUUUCUGUUGUUGACAUUUUCCCGAUUUCCAUUUUCAAUUUCAUUAUUCAUCGUUUAAGUUCAUUUUAAAAGGCUUAUUUGUCCUAACUUGCAAUUAAAUGAAAAAU
rnacentral:lncRNA from 1 species